UACGUAGGGUGCGAGCGUUGUCCGGAAUUAUUGGGCGUAAAGAGCUCGUAGGCGGUUUGUUGCGUCUAUCGUGAAAACCUGCAGCUUAACUGUGGGCUUGCGGUGGAUACGGGCAGACUUGAGUUCGGUAGGGGAGACUGGAAUUCCUGGUGUAGCGGUGAAAUGCGCAGAUAUCAGGAGGAACACCUGCGGUGUAGACGGCUUUCUGGACCAUUACUGACACUGAGACACGAAAGCGUGGGUAGCAAACAGG
rnacentral:rRNA from 1 species